rnacentral:rRNA from 1 species
UACGUAGGGGGCGAGCGUUGUCCGGAAUCAUUGGGCGUAAAGAGCGUGUAGGCGGCUUGGCAAGUCUGACGUGAAAGCCCGCGGCUCAACCGCGGAUUGUCGUUGGAAACUGCCUCGCUAGAGUCCGGAAGAGGAGAGCGGAAUUCCUGGUAUAGCGGUGGAAUGCGCAGAUAUCAGGAAGAACACCCGUGGCGAAGGCGGCUCUCUGGGACGGUACUGACGCUGAGACGCGAAAGCGUGGGGAGCGAACAGG